CUGGGGGCAGAGCGACUGCAAGCAUGAGGAGGACGCUGGAGUGAGGUGCUCUGGGACCAGACCAGACUUAAAUCCUGGCAUCUUCUCCCUGCCUGAGAUCCUCUGCUUCAUCCUGGGGGCCCUUCUCCUCCUGGUCCUCAUCAUCCUGGUGGCUCAGCUGCUCAGAUGGAGGGCAAAGCACAGAGGUGCUGUCGAUGAGGCCGUGUAUGAGGAGAUUGAUAACCUUGGAAUACCAAAGGAAGAUCUGCUGGGAAGCACAG